CUCGUCAGGUAGUAUAAGAUGAUACAGGCCUCGUCUGGUAGUCUAAGAUGAUACAGGCCUCGUCAGGUAGUAUAAGAUGAUACAGGCCUCGUCAGGUAGUCUAAGAUGAUACAGGCCUCGUCAGGUAGUAUAAGAUGAUACAGGCCUCGUCAGGUAGUCUAAGAUGAUACAGGCCUCGUCAGGUAGUCUAAGAU